UGUCCGUCGUUUUAGCUGCUCGUGCGUGAGCUUUGAGUUUUUACUCCUUUCAUUCUCGGUAUAGUUGGCCGAGAGUUGAGUUGUACUCCUAACUAGUAAAAGAUUUUUGCGAUUUUGUUUCUGUCUAACUUGUAGGGUUUUCCUUUUCAGUUAAUCAUGAAUGGAUUUUGUGAUUUUUUUUUUAAAAAAAAAAAAAAUCAUUGUAAAUCUUAAUCGAUAGGGGAAGCAUAGAGCGUAAUUACAGAGAUACCCCUGACGGCGUCAAUUGUCUAUAAAAGACAGAAGUAACGCAUACGUACGUACGCUUUGGUGGGAUGAACAGAGACAUUAUUAUCAGUUUCUCCUAAUUAAAUACCUUUCUUCCAACUUUUUCACCGUUUCUCAUUCUCUCUCUCUCUUCCCCACCUAAAACUCACUCCUCUUUUUGUUUAAUCUCACCUUCGUUCCAUAAAUAUUUACCAGUUACCAAACUCAACUCACUCACAAUAACAUCAAAACAAUAGGUCUCAAAGAAAAAUCUCAUCACACCUUGACUUGACCCUUCAUAUAUAUGCACCAAGAGACCUAAAACGGCAUCGUUUAAAGUAUAUUUCUGGUGUCUCUUCUGGUGCUGCCGCUUGUUUUGCCGGCGCCUCUGCCACCUCCGCCGUUGAUGCUCUUGUUCAUUCCGGUUCUCUUGCUGCUUCUUUUGAUUUUCUUAGCUUUGUCGCCUGUGGCCCAGCUGCCUAGUGCUGUCGACACCCGACUUUGAUUAUAUUAUAUUUUAUGAACAAAUUAAAUUCUACCUAAUCGCAUUUCUUUGUAAAUAUGCAUGCAUCGAUCCUUUUCAUUUCUUUUUUUUAUUAUUAUAAUUUUUUAUUUUCACCAGUAAUAUUUCUUCUUUGUUCCUCUUUCUUCUUCUGAUAUACCCAAUGCACAAAGGGUAAUUGUUAAUUAUAUGAUGAAAAUAUGAGACCUUUUCUUUGAAUU